UGACAGUGAGCGAGGAAAAGACAGAGGAAUAGACAGAAAAACGGGGUUUGUGUGUCUGGAGCCCGGAAGCAUGACCAGAGGAUCACAGAGUGGCAAAAAACAGGCUGCAGUGGAGAUCAAGAACCUUCGAGUCACUCGGACAUUAAAGCCUAGUUCUCGGGGCUAAGGAGGCUAUUGCAGCAUUUUACAGAGUGGUCGUAUGAUCAGCCUUGGCUGUCAGAACUGCAAGGGCAGAGCUGGAGGACUGACUGGAGAGAGGAGUGUGAUGACUGGGCACGGGAGGCCAUUGUAAGUCACCCGGUGGAAGCUGAAGAUAAUCUGUGUUAAUUAAACAAGGGGCAGACCAAAUGACAAUGCCUGAUAUUAGCAUCCUCAUAGGUGGUCUCAAACUUGACUGUUGACAUGGUUCAUUGGUCCAAAUUGGAAAGCAAUUUAGGAGUAUACAACCAAAAGUUAAAGAUGGACUUUGUCGUUUCACUUGUGUGAUUUAUCUUACAUGAGUAAUUAAGAAUGCACAAUUUAUGGUUGCUUUUCCAAAGACCCUGCUGUGAGUCCCAGUACCCAUCUCUAACCCCAGUCUCCGGGGAUCCAGUUCCCUCUUCCGGCCUCGACAGGCACCAGGCAUGCGGAGAUAGUGGGAUAAGAUCCUCACCCUCCAGAUCACCAGUGGUACACAUCAUGCAGGAAUGGGAUGCAUUGGUUAGAGCUACAGCAGCUAUGAAGACAGAAUCCAUGAACAAGGAUGCAGGAUGUGCUGUACCUCUCAGUGCUCAGGGAGUUAUGCAGAAGACGAGGAAGAGGAUGGUAAGAGCCAGCAGGGAUGGAUGACUCCAAGGAAACAGUAUCUUCCAGACACAACAGGACCGAUUCAUAUAUGAACUCAGAGACUGUGGCAGCAUGAAUAGGACCAGCACAAAUUCAAGCCAGACUGGGUCCCAACAUUAAGAAGGGGAAGUAGAUUCCCAUCCCUAACCAAGAAGCUAUCUCCAAUUGACAACUGCUUGCAAAAGAAACUUUAGUCUUCUCCAAUGGAGUCUCAAUGGAUAUAUAUACCAUACUUAAGGGUCGGCCCCAUCCCCAGCAGUAGAUGGCCAAUACAAACAAGCUCAAUAGUAAUUUAAUUUUGUAGACUUUUUAUCUCAUAAUGCUUUG